GUUGGCGCUUUGUGCUUUAUACGCGAUGCGGUUUUGUUGGCGUGCAGACGUCUUCACGGUGAAAAGCAAAUGAAAAUUCAAGUCGAAAAAGCGCAUAAAACACUUUAAUUGAGCACAGAGCAGAACAAGCAAAACAAAUUGAACUUUUAUCGCAAAUGCACAAAUAAACAAAGUUUGUGUGCUAAAGUGUAUGUGUGUGUGUAAGACUGAGGUAAAGUGCAAUUGCAAUUGCAAUUUCAUUCGUGUGUUGUAGUUGUUGUUUGUGUGUUAAUUACGUAGCAGCUGAAUUGACGUACAUAAGGGGUGCAGGACGAUUCAAUAGGAAUUGGAGUCAACGAGUUGCGCCCAAUUUGUUGCAUUGUAAAGUGCACCUAAAAGGAGAACCUGUUGUUGUUUUUGUUAUUAUUAUCGCACAUAGUGGGACAGAGAAAGAGCGAGAGCUAAACAAGUGCGAGAAAGAGAAUGAGAACACACAACGGCGGCAACAAGACGGAAAAAUCGAUUGUGCUCAUUUUUGUUUUGGUUCAUGCUCAUUCAUGUUAAUGCAAAUUUAGAGCGUGUGUGUGAGUGUUUGUGCACGCGUAUGUGUUCUAUGUAAAAGUUAACAACAACAUUAGGACGAUAUCCAACCGAUUAACAGAGGACAAAAACAAUGCAUAUGGCAUGACUCAUGCAAAGCUGCAUAUUAUCCAAAUUAAGCUAGAAACAUGAAAAAUCAUCAAAAAUAUGCAAAAUUACCCCAAGAUUUGGAUUUGAGUUUUCAAAGUGAUUUGGAUUUGCUGCCGGACACUGCAGCCGAUAUCGAUGUCGAUGAAUUCAAUUUGAGUGGCACGCCACCUGCCGCUUUAGUACUAAACGACGACGACGUUGACGCUGACGGUGACGACGACGACGACGGCGGCGGCAGCAGCGGCAUCAUCGGUGGCGGUGGUGAGGACGACGAAGACGACGAAAUUGUCAUUGCAGCUCAAGUUGUGGGUGGUGGAAAAGCGGGCGGUGGCGGAGGGCUUCGUUUAGCCACACGUAAGCAACGUAAACAACGCAAGCAGCAGUUGGAACAGCUGUACAAUAAGAAGAAUAAGAUCUGCGGCCUGGGCAGCGAUAGUGUUAUCGAGACGGGUUUAACCCUCACACCCGAGAUGCUGUUGUCCACGUCGGAGUCCUCGACGCACAGCGCCUCCGAGGUGGCAGGACGUCUCCAAGUGGAUGUGCGCACUGGCUUGAAAUGGACAGAGGCCAAGUAUCGGGCCAAGAUCAUUGGCCACAAUGAGCUGAAUGUCAUCGAGGAGGAUCCCACUUGGAAGAAGUACAUCGAGCAGUUUAGGAAUCCUUUGAUUCUGUUGCUCCUUGGCUCCGCGCUGGUGUCGGUGAUCAUGAAACAGUUUGACGAUGCCGUCAGCAUAACGAUUGCCAUUCUAAUUGUGGUCACGGUGGCCUUCAUCCAAGAGUAUCGCUCCGAGAAGAGUCUCGAGGAGCUGAAGAAGCUGGUGCCACCAGAGUGUCAUUGUCUGCGAGAGGGACGCCUCGACACGUUCCUCGCACGCGAACUCGUGCCCGGAGAUGUGGUGCAUCUGAAUGUGGGCGAUCGAGUCCCAGCUGAUGUGCGUCUCUUUGAGGCCGUGGAUCUGUCGAUUGAUGAGAGCAGCUUCACUGGCGAAACGGAGCCAGCGCGCAAGAUCACAGAUGUGCUGUUGAACAAUACGAAUGUUAAGGAUCACAGCAACAUGAAGAACAUUGCUUUCAUGGGAACCUUAGUGCGUUGUGGCAAUGGCAAAGGCAUUGUGGUCAGCACCGGGGAGCGCAGCGAGUUCGGCGAGGUCUUCAAGAUGAUGCAAGCCGAGGAGGCGCCCAAGACGCCGUUGCAAAAGUCAAUGGACAUACUUGGGGCCCAGUUGAGCUUCUAUUCGUUUCUCAUCAUUGGCGUCAUCAUGCUGCUGGGCUGGCUGCAAGGCAAACCGCUCUCCGAGAUGUUCAACAUUAGUGUCUCGCUUGCGGUUGCUGCCAUUCCCGAGGGUCUGCCCAUUGUGGUGACCGUCACCUUGGCCCUGGGAGUCAUGCGAAUGGCCAAACGCAAUUCGAUUGUCAAGAAACUUCCCACAGUCGAGACGUUGGGUUGUGUGAAUGUCAUCUGCUCGGAUAAGACGGGCACUUUGACAAAGAACGAAAUGACUGCAACGAUUAUUAUCACCUCGGAUGGUUAUAUGGCGGAUGUGACUGGGGCCGGGUAUAAUGAUCAGGGCGAGAUACACAUACGACACUGCAACAAUGUGGAAAUGGCCAAGUCAAACAUUACGAAUCUCCUUGAAAUUGGCGCCGUUUGCAACAAUGCCUACAUACAGAAUGGCACGCUUCUUGGCCAACCGACCGAGGGGGCUCUUGUCGCUGUGGCCAUGAAGAACGGGAUGUAUGCCACGGCCGAGAACUAUGUGCGCAUCCAGGAGUAUCCGUUUAGCUCCGAACAAAAGAUGAUGGCCGUCAAGUGCAUUCACAAGUACAACAACAACAAGGAGGAGAUAUUCUUUGCCAAGGGCGCCCUCGAGACCUUGCUGCCCCAGUGCACCAAGUAUCAAUUUGGCACUCAGACUGUACCGCUGACCAAGCAGAACGAGGCCGAGUUCCUCGCCGAGGCCUACGAGAUUGGACGCAAGGGUUUGCGUGUGCUCGCCUUGGCCAAGGGUCGCUCCAUGCAGGACUUGAUCUACUGUGGCCUGGUGGGUAUCACUGAUCCGCCGCGUCCUCUUGUCCGGGAGUCCAUCGAGAUGCUGAUGCAGAGCGGUGUGCGCGUCAAGAUGGUCACUGGAGAUGCUCAAGAAACGGCCAUGGCUAUAGCAAAUUUAAUUGGCAUCGAUACCAUACAUCAUCAGACGCUGUCUGGCCAGGAGAUCGAUCAGUUGAACGAGCAUCAGCUGGACAAGGUGGCCAACAAUGUGAGCGUCUUCUAUCGCGUCUCGCCGCGCCACAAGUUGGAGAUUGUCAAGUCGUUGCAGCGCACUGGAAACAUUGUCGGCAUGACUGGCGACGGUGUCAACGAUGGAGUUGCCUUGAAGAAGGCAGACAUUGGCAUUGCGAUGGGCAAGAAUGGCACCGAUGUGUGCAAGGAGGCGGCUGACAUGAUAUUGGUUAAUGAUGAUUUCCACACCAUUAUCGCUGCCAUCGAGGAGGGCAAAGGCAUCUUCUACAACAUUCGCAACUUUGUGCGCUUUCAGCUGAGCACCUCGAUCGCAGCGCUCGCUCUGAUCGCGCUUGCCACCCUGAUGGACAUUGCCAAUCCAUUGAAUGCCAUGCAGAUACUGUGGAUCAACAUCAUCAUGGAUGGUCCACCGGCACAGUCGCUGGGCGUGGAGCCCGUUGAUCACGAUGUGCUGAAGCAGAAGCCACGCAACGUGAAGCAACCGAUGAUCACCAAAUCGGUGGUGGUCAAUGUGCUCUUGAGUGCCAGCAUCAUUGUGCUGGGCACUCUGUGGGUAUUCCAACGCGAGAUGGCCGAUGGCACGCUGGGCAAAACGAAGCGGGAUACGACCAUGACAUUCACCUGUUUUGUCUUCUUUGACAUGUUCAAUGCGCUGUCGUGUCGGUCGCAGACGAAGAGUGUGUUCACCAUUGGAUUGACCACCAAUCGCAUGUUCCUGCUUGCCGUUGCCUUCUCGAUAGUUGGCCAAAUGCUUGUCGUUUACUUUCCACCGCUCCAGAUGGUGUUCCAAACGGAGGCGUUAACGCCCUACGAUAUACUCUUUCUGGUCACGCUCACCUCCUCUGUACUCGUCGUUUCGGAGAUCAAGAAGUGGUUCGAACGCUCGCUGGAGCGCAAGAUGUACAGCACACGCUCCGAGCUGGACUUUGUAUGACAAAACGCAAGCGCUAGAGAUGAGUUGCACCCAAAAGCCGAGUAAAUUAACAAAAAAAUAAAAUAAAAAAAAAUAAAAAACAAAAUCCAAUAAAAAACCACAAAAAAAAUAGCAAAACUAUGCAAAAACCAAGUGAGGAGCGUGGCAGCAGAGAGAGAGGAGAGUAGAGAGCGGAGCGAAGAGGAGAGCGGAGAAUUAGUGAGCGACAUGUGUGUUUAAUUUUACAUUGGACUUAGUCAGCGCCAAAGCCAACAACAACCAAUCAAUAUGCCCAAGAUCGUGAAGCGAGAAUCGAAUAAACCAGUCGAACCAAAUUUGUAACACACGUCAAUAUAUAUAGUAUACCGUAUAUCGAUAUCAAUAUGUUAAACUGUCGAAUGUCUUCGGAUGCAGUCAAUUCAACAAUUAGUUUCUCCAAAUUAGUAGCGACAAAUGUAAGCAAAAGUUUAAUGAACGUUUCGUGUUGUGUAUCUCCUCCCAAUUUACUUCUUACUUCUAUUUUAGUUUCUUCAGUUUAAUUAUUUUAUAUUUUACAGUUUAUGCGAUAAUCAUUUUACAUUUAAAUUCCUUGUUUCAGCUUCGAGCAACAAUCGAAUUGAGAGGCUACGAAAUUCCCCACCCCCCCGACAAAAUGUAAAAUGAAAUGUGCAACAAGAAUAAGAACAAGAGUAGCAGGUAGAAUGGAGGAAGAUGCAAAGCUUAGCAAAUGGUUUUUUUAAGAAUUUUGUUUAUUAAUUUAUUCGGUAAUUACAAUUCGUGUACAACAGCAGCAACAACAAGCGAAACUCUAGCGCGAGAAACAAUGAAAAACGUUUUUUUUUGGAAACUUGUCGACAAUUCAAAAUAUGCAAAUAUUCUGCAUACGAAUUAAUCAAAUAUUUGUGUAAUUUGAAUGUGGUCAGACAACAAAAUGAAUUUGUCAAAUGUAUUUGAAAUGAAAAACAAUGCAAAUUAAUGCAAUUGAAAGAACCAAUUGGUAUCACUAAUCGAUUUAUUUGUAUUGCCAAGAGCAACAGCAAUUCACAUUUAGGUUAACAGCAACAAUAAAGCAAUAACUAAAACAAUACAAAAAGUUGAUUCAAAAUAGGUUUUCAUUAGAAAUUGAAAUCAAUUAUUGGUAUCUACUUAAUCAAAUAGUAAAACAAAAUGUUUAUUUAGUAAAUAUAAUCGAAAUAGUUCAAACGAAACCAUAAAAACAACAACAAAACAAAAGCAUUCAUUUGUAUAAUGAAAAGUACUUGAAAAUAUUUAUGAAACAACAACAACAAUACCAAUAUCUCUCGACAUCCCCGAUUCAUAUCAUCACAGCUCAGCAAAAGUUUAUAUUGCAAAUCAAUUAUCUAUUUACAUACAUACAUAAGUACCAAAAAUGACAUUGCACCGAAGCUUCUCAAGCACAACACAACACUUUUACUUCUUGAAAUUAUUCGAAUCUUUGAAUUGAUUAGGAAACCAUAUAUAAAAAGUUUCAGUAAGUAGAUGAUGCAUAUCACCAAAUUGCACUUGGGACUGAUGGCAAGGAGAGCUACUCAGUGAACUUGUUAUCCUUGGAUCGCAGCACUCUUAGGAACAUCCUUUGCACUUUUCGGCACAUUUUGUCGAUAUUAAUCCGUGUUUUAGCAAUCGCAAACUUUUAUCUCAAUCUCAAGGCUAACAAAUAGUUAUAAAAUUUGUAUACUUUAAUGGACCAAACAUUACAAAUUGUUUAAAUUAUUUACAAAAGCAAAAGCAUCACACGAACAACACACACAAAACACAUCGAGUUCAGGCAAAGCUCUCAUACUGCACACACUCAUAUAUCAUGGCAAGAAAAUGUAACGCAAAAAAAAAAAUGGAAAAGAAAAAAAAAUCAAAAACAAAAAAAAGAAGGAAUGGAAAAGGAAAGGGGAGGAAAUAAUAUCUUAAAUUAAAUUUAAUGGAAUCGUUCUACAGAGCAAGCAAAAUUCAUUCAUUAUCAUAGCCCACACAUGCGUACACCACAACCACACAUCUCAUCCACAAUGGUAACAAUAAUUAGUAAAUUAAGUGUAUUUAAUUAAUUAAUUAACAAACUAUUGCAUAUGUGAAUGUCUGAAUAAUGAAAUUAAUAACAAAAUGAAAACAACAUACGAGUUAAAUAACUAGCGAAAUAUCAGCAACACAGGUAUAAAUUUAUAUACUACUAUAUACUUAUUAUAAUUAUUAUUAUCUAGAGUUCCAGUUCGAGAAUGGAAAUUUCAAAUAAAAAAUGGAAAAUGCAAAUGAGUGGCAACAGAUUUUGAUGAAUUUUUAAGGCAAAAGUAAUUGACGAUUUGCUUGCUAGCAAGAAUUUAUACUUAUUUACUGAUUACUGAUAUUAUAUGCAUAAUACAAAAUAACUAAUACAAGGAUACUUAGUCGAAUGAAAUACCAUAUAACACGUGCUAUAUAUAUAUAAAUGUAAAUGUCUAAAACUUCUUCUGGCUUCAAUAUUGCACAGCUAACUACACAUAAUGUACUACUUCUUCAAUACUUAUAAAAUAUGUAUUAUUUUCGAAGCUCAAAAUAUUUCGCUUUCAACACUUUCCUUUAACAAUUAGUUAAUUGUUUUAAAGAAUAUGUACAAAACUCUGGAACUAGUUUGUUUUCUGUUAACUCUGAUUCAAAGAAAACUAUACGCUAACUAAACAAAACAGAAAAAGAAAAGAAAACUAUGUCUAACUGUGCUAUUAAAUGUAAGCUUAAAUAAUAUACUAUAUAUAGAUGAAUAUCCAUAAUAGAGCUAUAUAAUGCGAAUGCGAGUAUUUCCAAAAUAUUUCCUAUACUAUUUCUAUCAAGCUCUAAUGAACAAAUUCAUCAAAUCUUAACUAAAACUGACGAAAGUAUUGCAAUUAUUUGACAUUUGAGUUACUAAAGUCGCGCUCUAUGAAUCUAAAAUACUAAACAAAUUAUACAAUUAACAAUAAUAUACCAUAUAUUAAAUUAAACCAAUCUCAAAUAAUAUGUAUCACCGACAAAAAAGAAAUACAAAUAUUUACUAAUAAAACUAACUUUAUGUAGUACACCAA